UACGUAGGGUGCGAGCGUUAAUCGGAAUUACUGGGCGUAAAGUGUGCGCAGGCGGCCGCGCAAGUCGAGUGUGAAAUCCCCGAGCUUAACUUGGGAAUUGCGCUCGAAACUACGUGGCUGGAGUGCGGCAGAGGAAGGUGGAAUUCCACGUGUAGCGGUGAAAUGCGUAGAGAUGUGGAGGAACACCGAUGGCGAAGGCAGCCUUCUGGGCCAACACUGACGCUCAUGCACGAAAGCGUGGGGAGCAAACAGG
rnacentral:rRNA from 1 species